rnacentral:rRNA from 1 species
AUUGAACGCUGGCGGUAGGCCUAACACAUGCAAGUCGAACGGCAGCACAGUAAGAGCUUCCUCUUACGUGUGGCGAGUGGCGGACGUGUGAGGAAUACAUCGGAAUCUACUUUUUCGUGGGGGAUAACGUAGGGAAACUUACUCUAAUACCGCAUACUACCUACGGGUAAAAGCAGGGGAUCUUCGGACCUUGCCCGCUGGAAUGCGCCGAUGUCGGAUUAGCUAGUUGGCGGGGUAAAGGCCCACCAAGGCGACGAUCCGUAGCUGGUCUGAGAGGAUGAGCAGCCACACUGGAACUGAGACACGGUCCAGACUCCUACGGGAGGCAGCAGUGGGGAAUAUUGGACAAUGGGCGCAAGCCUGAUCCAGCCAUACCGCGUGGGUGAAGAAGGCCUUCGGGUUGUAAAGCCCUUUUGGUGGGAAAGAAAAGCAGAAGGUUAAUACCUCGAUGUAUUGACGGUACCCAAAGAAUAAGCACCGGCUAACUUCGUG